UACGAAGGGUGCAAGCGUUACGUCGGAAUUACUGGGCGUAAAGCGUGCGUAGGUGGUUUGUUAAGUCUGCUGUGAAAGCCCCGGGCUCAACCUGGGAAUGGCAGUGGAUACUGGCAAGCUAGAGUGCGGUAGAGGGGUGUGGAAUUCCCGGUGUAGCGGUGAAAUGCGUAGAGAGUCGGGAGGAACACCAACGGCGAAGGCAGCUCGCUGGGACGGUACUGACACUGAGGCGCGAAAGCGUGGGGGAGCGAACAGG
rnacentral:rRNA from 1 species